AGUUGACGACAAAGAUAGUCUUCUACUCCGGUUGUCGCUUGGAAUCUUCUCCUCCUCCUUAUCCGAUAUUCAUGCACGCAAAAACACUGAUAUUCACUAGUGGCUUCAAAUACCACUAACCCCACCUUGUAUUCUUGCCAACAUCUUCCACGUUAUUGUUUGAAUGUAUCUCAUCCUCCACGCCUCAAUAUCAUGAUUCUCAGAAGAGAAAUCUCUGCAAGUUCUUGAUUCAACAACAAGAACCCCAUCAGGACCAGCAGUUCCAUGAUCACAAAGCUUGAUAGGAGUUUCCCGCCACUUUUAUUUUUGUUCAAGUUUGUCUUGUCCAGUUGAAUUAAUCUGGUUUCGUGGGUAUUCCGUAUUGGUUAUUGUUUGAAAUGGAGAGGUUUUCUGAGAGAGAGAGUGCUCUGUUAGGUUAUAAUUUCCAAAGACCUUCUAUAAACCAUCCAGGUUCUUCUCCAGAGAGCCAGUAUGGAAACUCAGAUAUUGAUUUUACCGAUGUUUUCGGUGGCCCACCGAGGCGAUCGUCACUUCAGGAGGUGCAGUAUAGUUUUUCUGAAACGACAGAUUCAUUUGCAUCGCCAAGUGGUGAUGUUGAUACCAAGUUGUCUCGCCACAGUUUGUCUGGUCUAAAUGACAAGCCAGUGUUUGGAGGUGAAAAUGUCAAUAGAAGGCGAUAUCCAAACGACGGGUUCUUUGGUGAUAUUUUUAGAGGCAGCGAAUCUUUGGGUUCUUCUCCAAGGAAGCAUGAACGUGAUUCACUUUCUUCGACUCCAGGUUCAAGAGUCUUAAGCCCUGCUGAAUUGCUGCCACAUAGAGCUGAUCCCUGGAGUCCAUCACCGCCUGCACAAUUCAGCCUCCCUGCCAAACUGAUUAAAGGGACAGACUUGCCGACAUUUAUUUCUAGUGCCCGUGACCAUCACAAAAAUAAAGACGGGGCUUCAAAUGGCAUCAGCAAUUAUACAUAUUCUCCUUUGUCUAGAUCUGCAAGCCCAACGAACCUCGUUAGAGACGAGUUGACUAAUGAUGUCUCUCGGCAGAGCGCUUUAUCCAAGGAGCCAUCUCUUAGUAGUGAGGAGCCAUCAAACGCGACCAAACCUGAAGAAACAGACAAAAGCAGAAAUUUGAAAAGGGAUUCAGAUGGUUCUGAAAUUCCGACAAACAGAAACCAAUUUCAUUUUUCUAUUUACAAGUGGGCAACCAAAGGAUUACCUUUUGCGAUGCCUCUUAGAGGAGCUAACAAAUCAAGACUGAAUGAGAAGUGUAAACUUCAGAGAUGUUCAAGUACUAAUGGAUGGACAACAUGCGAAGGUAUAGCAAGAGAAUUACGUUCAGCAACUCCACAUGAUAUUGAUAUUCCCUCAUUCAGUGGUCGAAUGGAGCUUGACAAACAAGAUGAUCACUUCCUCUUCGACACAAGCAUUCAGGGUGAACUAGAAGCGUGUCAAAUUCUUGAGGACACAAGUUUCCCUAUAUCUGAGUUGGAUACUCCAAGCAAUCUUCAAGUGAUUGUUGAAGAUGAUCCUACAAAUCCUGCCUUAGGGACUUCAAUAGAAACAAAACAUCACUCUGCUCCUGAAACAGGCUUAUUUGGAAAAACAAAGGAAGAAAUUUCUGUAGUUACACAAGAGGCUCACAAGACUGAGUUAAAACCACGACGUUCCCAGUUAACUGAGAAUGAUUAUGAACAAGGUAUUGAUGAGAUGACUAUUAAAACUGGUUUGAAACAAAGCAAGGUAAAAAACACCAAAAAAUCAUCUGCGGUUCUUGAUGUUAGUGAAAAUAUAAAGGAUGAAGACGAGACAGCGAAUAGUGUACGAGUGGAUAAAGCUAACUUUCAAUUUCCACCUACAAAAUCAAGGGACAGCUUUGGGAAGAACAGGGUUAGGGGAAAGGUCAAGGAAUUUGUUAAGAUUUUCAACCAUGGAGUUCCAGAAAAACCCAAUUUUGAUCUUAAUGACUCACAACAUCAAGAUUCUAGACGAAAGGAAAGGAGCAAAUUCAGGACUGAGGAUACCACAAGUGAGAAAAUGCACUCGAAUAAUGUGUACGAGAAAAACAUGCCAAAUGCUUCAAUCCGGGUGGAUCCUGAUACAACGGCGAGCAAUCUCAAGUCCGCACGCGUUUCUUCUGGACGUAAGGAUAGAUCAGUGCCAGCUACAGCAGACGUUCCUAAUGUCUCAGAAUCAACCAUUGGAGAUCCAGAUUUGUCCUUCCUCCUGAUCACAGAAUUGCCCCAGGAUGAGGAAAGGGGGCCGCAAACCAGCGAUAACCAUGAGGAGAUCCGAGUCAUUAAUGAUAAAAUACAGAAAUGGUCGAAAGGAAAGGAAGGCAACAUUCGCUCCCUGUUGUCAACUUUACAAUAUGUUCUUUGGUCUGGAAGUGGAUGGAAGCCUGUGCCUCUUGUUGAUAUAGUUGAAGGAAAUGCAGUGAAAAGAACAUAUCAAAAGGCCUUGCUCUGUCUACACCCUGAUAAACUCCAGCAGAAGGGUGCUACCUCGCAUGAAAAAGACAUAGCAGAAAAAGUUUUCGAUAUUUUGCAGGAAGCAUGGACUCAUUUCAACACACUCGGAGCAGUGUAACGUGUGACCAGUGAAAGCAAAUCGCAAUUUCUCAUAGGUCAAAGGACAUCGAGAUGCUUGUUUAUCUAGGAAAGCCCCUGCAAGUAGGAAUACAAGAAAAAGAGAGAUUAACGAACAAAGUAAAGGCAUGCAGGGUUGCCAAACACAUUGAACGGGGCUAAAAGAGAAGAUCAUAGGAAUGAAUGAUCCCGGGGAUUGCAAAAUAAAAUAGAUGUGAAAAGGAGGCCAACGAAUAUCGGCAGAAAUGCUAAGAAAAUAAUGAUACGAAUCAUUUUAAAGCCAAGGUAUAUGUGUAGAUAUUAAAUUAGAGAGAACCUUUGAGAGAAACAUAAAGAGAAUGAGUGUGGGGUGGAAAGCCGAUCCGCAAUGAAGAACAUAACAUAUUUAAACAAGAAUAAAACAAUUCUCACACUAUACAAUGACACAACUGUGAUGGCUAUCAAACAAAAUAGUGGAUUAGUGACUAUCGAAGUCCUCGGAAACGUAA